rnacentral:rRNA from 1 species
AGCAGUCGAGAGGCUUCGGCAAUGGGGGAAACCCUGACCGAGCGACGCCGCGUGAGGGAUGAAGCCCCUCGGGGUGUAAACUUCUUUUCUGGGGGAAGAAACACAUGGGGUCCAAUAGGCCUCGUGCUUGACGGUACUUCAGGAAUAAGCUCCGGCUAACUCCGUGCCAGCAGCCGCGGUAAUACGGGGGGAGCAAACGUUGUUCGGAAUCACUGGGCGUAAAGGGCGCGUAGGCGGCCCCGCAAGUGGUGUGUGAAAUGCCCUGGCUCAACCAGGGAACUGCGCACCAAACUGCGGAGCUUGAGGGCAGUAGAGGAAGCUGGAAUUCCUGGUGUAGCGGUGAAAUGCGUGGAUAUCAGGAGGAACACCGUUGGCGAAGGCGAGCUUCUGGGCUGUUCCUGACGCUGAGGCGCGAAAGCUGGGGGAGCAAACAGGAUUAGAUACCCUGGUAGUCCCAGCCGUAAACGGUGAACACUAGGUGUGGGGGGUGUCGACCCUUUCCGUGCCGUAGCUAACGCAUUAAGUGUUCCGCCUGGGGAGUACGGUCGCAAGGCUGAAACUCAAAUGAAUUGACGG